UGCGCAGGUGGCCGCGCAAGUCGAGUGUGAAAGCCCCGGGCUUAACUUGGGAAUUGCGCUCGAAACUACGUGGCUAGAGUGUGGCAGAGGAAGGUGGAAUUCCACGUGUAGCGGUGAAAUGCGUAGAGAUGUGGAGGAACACCGAUGGCGAAGGCAGCCUUCUGGGCCAACACUGACGCUCAUGCACGAAAGCGUGGGGAGCAAACAGGAUUAGAUACCCUGGUAGUCCACGCCCUAAACGAUGAUGACUAGUUGUUGGGGGAGUUAAAUCCCUUAGUAACGCAGCUAACGCGUGAAGUCAUCCGCCUGGGGAGUACGGUCGCAAGAUUAAA
rnacentral:rRNA from 1 species